AGAGUUUGAUUAUGGCUCAGGAUGAACGCUGGCGGCAGGCUUAAUACAUGCAAGUCGAACGGUAAGGCCGAGUGCAGCAAUGCAUGAGGUACACGAGUGGCGCACGGGUGCGUAACGCGUAUGCAACCUGCCCUUGACCGGGACAAAACAGCUGGAAACGGCUGCUAAUAUCCCAUGGCCACACGAGGGGGCAUCCCCAUGUGUGUAAAGAUUCAUUGGUCAGGGAUGGGCAUGCGUAUUAUUAGGUAGUUGGCGGGGUAACGGCCCACCAAGCCGACGAUGAUUAGGGGUCCUGAGAGGGUUAACCCCCACACUGGAACUGAGACACGGUCCAGACUCCUACGGGAGGCAGCAGUAGGGAAUAUUGGGCAAUGGAGGCAACUCUGACCCAGCCAUGCCGCGUGAAGGAAGACGGCCCUAUGGGUUGUAAACUUCUUUUGCCGCAGAGUAAACGCGGGGACGCGUCCCCGUUUGACGUAGUUACCUGGCGGCGAACUUAGGUAUCGGCUAACUCGGUGCCAGCCGCGGC
rnacentral:rRNA from 1 species